GUGGGGAAUAUUGCACAAUGGGCGCAAGCCUGAUGCAGCAACGCCGCGUGAGGGACGACGGCCUUCGGGUUGUAAACCUCUUUUAGCAGGGAAGUAGCGAAAGUGACGGUACCUGCAGAAAAAGCACCGGCUAACUACGUGCCAGCAGCCGCGGUAAUACGUAGGGUGCAAGCGUUGUCCGGAAUUAUUGGGCGUAAAGAGCUCGUAGGCGGUUUGUCGCGUGUGCUGUGAAAACCCGAUGCUCAACCUCGGGCCUGCAGUGGGUACGGGCAGACUAGAGUGAGGUAGGGGAGAUUGGAAUUCCUGGUGGAGCGGUGGAAUGCGCAGAUAUCAGGAGGAACACCGAUGGCGAAGGCAGAUCUCUGGGCCGUAACUGACGCUGAGGAGCGAAAGCGUGGGGAGCGAACAGGAUUAGAUACCCGUGUAGUCC
rnacentral:rRNA from 1 species